AGGUUAGCGGCGGACGGGUGAGUAACACGUGGGCAACCUGCCCUGUAGAUCGGGAUAACAUCGAGAAAUCGGUGCUAAUACCGGAUAAUUUCUAGAAUCUCAUGGUUCUAGAAUAAAAGAUGGCUCCGGCUAUCACUACGGGAUGGGCCCGCGGCGCAUUAGCUAGUUGGUAAGGUAACGGCUUACCAAGGCGACGAUGCGUAGCCGACCUGAGAGGGUGAUCGGCCACACUGGGACUGAGACACGGCCCAGACUCCUACGGGAGGCAGCAGUAGGGAAUCUUCCGCAAUGGACGAAAGUCUGACGGAGCAACGCCGCGUGAGUGAUGAAGGAUUUCGGUUCGUAAAGCUCUGUUGUUAGGGAAGAACAAGUGCCGUUCAAAUAGGGCGGCACCUUGACGGUACCUAACCAGAAAGCCACGGCUAACUACGUGCCAGCAGCCGCGGUAAUACGUAGGUGGCAAGCGUUGUCCGGAAUUAUUGGGCGUAAAGCGCGCGCAGGCGGUCUUUUAAGUCUGAUGUGAAAGCCCACGGCUCAACCGUGGAGGGUCAUUGGAAACUGGGAGACUUGAGUACAGAAGAGGAGAGUGGAAUUCCACGUGUAGCGGUGAAAUGCGUAGAUAUGUGGAGGAACACCAGUGGCGAAGGCGACUCUCUGGUCUGUAACUGACGCUGAGGCGCGAAAGCGUGGGGAGCAAACAGGAUUAGAUACCCUGGUAGUCCACGCCGUAAACGAUGAGUGCUAGGUGUUAGGGGUUUCGAUGCCCUUAGUGCCGAAGUUAACACAUUAAGCACUCCGCCUGGGGAGUACGACCGCAAGGUUGAAACUCAAAGGAAUUGACGGGGGCCCGCACAAGCAGUGGAGCAUGUGGUUUAAUUCGAAGCAACGCGAAGAACCUUACCAGGUCUUGACAUCCUUUUG
rnacentral:rRNA from 2 species